AUUGAACGCUGGCGGCAGGCCUAACACAUGCAAGUCGAACGAGUGGCGGACGGGUGAGUAAUGUCUGGGAGACUGCCCGUUGGAGGGGGAUAAAUACUGGAAACGGUAUCUAAUACCGCAUACCAUCAGAUGUGCCCAGAUGGGAUUAGCUAGUUGGUGGGGUAACGGCGCACCCAGGCGACGAUCCCUAGCUGGUCUGAGAGGAUGAGCAGCCACACGGGAACUGAGACACGGUCCAGACUCCUACGGGAGGCAGCAGUGGGGAAUAUUGCACAAUGGGCGCAAGCCUGAUGCAGCCAUGCCGCGUGUAUGAAGAAGGCCUUCGGGUUGUAAAGUACUUUCAGCGGGGAGGCGUUACCCGCAGAAGAAGCACCGGCUAACUCCGUGCCAGCAGCCGCGGUAAUUC
rnacentral:rRNA from 1 species